rnacentral:ribozyme from 15 species
CAAUGGGGUUGGUCCACGAAAACUACGAAAUUUAUACAUACUUCUUAACCAAAUAACAACAUUAUAAAUAAACCAAAGACUAAAAACUAAUAAAAGAAUUGAAUAAAUCAUUUUAUAUUUCUUAUUUUUCUUUUUCUUUUCUUUCUUUUGUUUGUUCAUCUGCUAAUCUUUGAA